rnacentral:rRNA from 1 species
GACAGAGGUGCCAAGCGUUAGGCGGAAUCACUGGGCUUAAAGAGUGUGUAGGCGGAUCGUUAAGUACCUUGUGAAAUCCCACGGCUCAACCGUGGAACUGCUCGGUAUACUGGCGGUCUUGAGCCACUUAGGGGCAACCGGAACAAACGGUGGAGCGGUGAAAUGCGUAGAUAUCGUUUGGAACGCCAAUGGUGAAAACAGGUUGCUGGGAGUGUGCUGACGCUGAGACACGAAAGCCAGGGGAGCGAACGGG